UCGAGAAUCAUUCACAAUGGGCGAAAGCCUGAUGGUGCGACGCCGCGUGGAGGAUGAAGGCCCUAGGGUUGUAAACUCCUGUCAUCAGAGAGUAAAGUUUUGCCGUUAAUAGCGGUGGGGCUUGAUAGUAUCUGAAGAGGAAGGGACGGCUAACUUCGUGCCAGCAGCCGCGGUAAUACGAAGGUCCCAAGCGUUGUUCGGAAUUACUGGGCGUAAAGAGUGCGUAGGCGGCGGGGUAAGUCAGAUGUGAAAUCCCGAGGCUCAACCUCGGAACUGCAUCCGAUACUGCCUUGCUAGAGUAGUGGAGGGGCAUCUGGAAUUCUCGGUGUAGCAGUGAAAUGCGUAGAUAUCGAGAGGAACACUAGUGGCGAAGGCGAGAUGCUGGACACUUACUGACGCUGAGGCACGAAGGCCAGGGUAGCGAAAGGGAUUAGAUACCCCCGUAGUCC
rnacentral:rRNA from 1 species